GUUUUAAUAGUUUCAAAAAAAAACGUCGGUCUUGUAAACCGAAAAUAAGAAAAGCCCCCCCUUUUAAAACU
rnacentral:tRNA from 1 species